rnacentral:lncRNA from 1 species
UAAAGUGAAAAUAACUCUUAUCUUUUCCAUAAGCCAGACAAGUCUUUAUUUCUUAUCUUAAAUUUAGCAAAAUAUGAUUUACUAUAGAAACCACUAGCAAACUAUCCUGCAAUGUACUUUGUUAUGGUUAUAUCUCAGACAGAAGUUCUUUGAUCGGUUCGUAAAUCGUAGAAUUUGGAAACACGUUCAAGCUAUAGCUUUCAGAUUUCUUUUUUUUUUUUAAGAAUAACUUACGGUCCAUAACGAGUCCCUUAUUGAUUCACUAAAAGGUCUAGCAAUAAAUAACCCCGUACGAAACCCAAUUAACACUAACAAAAACAAAAUAAAAAGCAAACCCUUUAAAUAAUAAAAACUUGACAUUCACCCUUGACCGCAGA